AAUCUUGGUUGGAGGUUUUUUCCUUUCAUCAUGUUGAGUAUAUCAUGCCACUCCCUUGUGGCCUGCAGAGUUUCUGCUGAAAAAUCUGCCGAUAACCUUAUUGGGGAUCCCUUGUAUGUUACUUGUUUCUUUUCCCUAGCUGCUUUCAAGAUUUUGUCUUUGUCUUUAAUUUUGGUCAGUUUGAUUAAUGUGUGUCUUGGGGUAUUCCUCCUUGGGUUUAUUUUAUGUGGUACUCGUUGUGCUUGCUGGAUUUGAGUGAGUGGUUCCUUUCCCAUGUGAGGCAAGUUUUUGGCUGUUAUCUCUUGGAAUAUUUUUUCUGUCUCCUCCUCUCUCUCUUCUUCUGGCACCCCUGUAAUACAGAUGUUGGUGCGUUUCACAUUGUCCCAGAGUUCUCUGAGACUCUCUUCAUUUGUUCUCAAUGUUUUUUCUCUUUUCUGUUCCGCAUCCGUAAUUUCCACGAAUCUGUCCUCCACCUCACUUAUUGGUUGUUGUGCCACCUGUCUUCUGCUGUUAGCUGCUUCUAGUGAGUUUUUUAUUUCAGUUAUUGUAUUUUGCAUCUCUUCUUGGUUAAGUUUUAUAUCUUGUAUCUCUUUGGUCAGUGUUUCCUGUAAGUUAUCCAUCUUUGCCUCCAGUUUAUGUCCAAUGUCUUGCAUCACCUUCAGCAUCAACAGUCUAAAGCCUUUUUCCUGGAGGCUGAGAAUCUCCUCAUCACUUAGCUGUUUUUCUGGGGUUUUUCCUUUCUCCCUCAGCUGAGUUAUAGUUCUCUGUCUUUUCAUGUGUAUAGGUUUUUGGUGUGGUGACCUUUUUAUGGAUAAUAGAGCUGUAGCCUCUCUUACUUUGGGUGUCUGCCCCCUUGUGGCUGAAGUCAGUAUGGGGGUUUGCUUGUAGGCUUCCUGAUGGGAGGGGCUGAUGCCUGCCCCCUGGUGGGUGGAGCCGAUUCUAAUCCCUCUGUUGGGUGGGGCUUAGUCUCUGGAUGGGAUUAGAGGCAGCUGUGUGCCUGGGGGGUCUUUAGGCAGCCUGUUUCCUGAGGGGCGGGGCUGUGAUCCCACCUGGGUUGUUGUUUGCCCUGGGGCUUCUCAGCAUCUGACUGAAGGGUGGGGCCACCUCCAGAGAAAGGACAUUGAAGGCAAAGCUCUCGGGAAUAUUCAGCAGCUUGCCUUUCUCUAGAGGUGGCCAUUUUGGGAAAAUCUGGCCCCACCCUUCAGUCAGAUGCUGAGAAGCCCCAGGGCAAACAACAAUCCAGGUGGGAUCACAGCCCCGCCCUUCAGGAAACAGGCUGCCUGAAGACCCCCCAGGCACACAGCUGCCUCUAAUCCCAUCCAGAGACUAAGCCCCACCCACCAGAGGGAUUAGAAUCGGCUCCACCUGCCAGGGGGCAGGCACCAGUCCCUCCCAUCAGGAAGUCUACAGCAAGCCCCCCAUACUGACUUCAGCCACAAGGGGGCAGACACCUGAAGUAAGAGAGGCUACAGCUCUAUUAUCCAUAAAAAGGUCACCACACCAAAAACCUAUACACAUGAAAAGACAGAGAACUAUAACUCAGGUGAGGGAGAAAGGAAAAACCCCAGAAAAUCAGCUAAGUGAUGAGGAGAUUCUCAGCCUCCAGGAAAAAGGCUUUAGACUGUUGAUGCUAAAGAUGAUGUAAGACAUUGGACAUAAACUGGAGGCAAAGAUGGAUACACCAAGCAAAGAGAUACAAGAUAUAAAACUUAACCAAGAAGAGAUGCAAAAUACAAUAACUGAAAUAAAAAAUUCACUAGAAGCAGCUAACAGCAGAAUAGAGGAGGCAGAAGAACCAAUAAGCGAGGUGGAGGACAAAUUAGUGGAAAUUAAGGAUGCAGAACAGAAAAGAGAAAAAAGAUUGAAAACAAAUAAAGAGAGUGUCAGAGAACUCUGGGACAACGUGAAAUGCACCAACAUCCGUAUUACAGGCGUGCCAGAAGGAGAAGAGAGAGAGAAGGUGACAGAAAAAAAUAUUCCAAGAGAUAAUAGCCGAAAACUUCUCUAACAUGGGGAAGGAACCACUCCCUCAAACCCAGGAAGCACAAUGAGUACCAUACAAAAUAAACCCAAGGAGGAAUGCACUGAGACACAUAUUAAUUAAACUGACCAAAAUUAAAGACAAAGAGAAAAUCUUGAACGCAGCUGGGGAAAAGAAACAAAUAACACACAAGGGAACCCCCGUAAUGUUAUGGGCAGAUUUUUCAGCAGAAACUGCAGGCCAGAAGGGAGUGG
rnacentral:lncRNA from 1 species